rnacentral:tRNA from 1 species
GCCGGGAUGGCUCAGUUGGCAGAGCGCCGGACUCAUAAGGCCUUAGUGUUCUGAGAAAUCCGGAGGUCUCGGGUUCAAUCCCCGAUCCCGGCA